rnacentral:rRNA from 1 species
AGGAUGAACGCUAGCGGCAGGCUUAAUACAUGCAAGUCGAGGGGCAGCAGGUUUGUAGCAAUACAGGUGCUGGCGACCGGCAAACGGGUGCGGAACACGUACGCAACUUUCCUUCAAGCGGGGAAUAGCCCAGGGAAACUUGGAUUAAUACUCCAUAAUUUUAUGAAGUGGCAUCACUUUAUAAGUAAAGCUCCGGCACUUGAAGAUGGGCGUGCGGCUGAUUAGGUAGUUGGCGGGGUAACGGCCCACCAAGCCUGCGAUCAGUAACUGGUGUGAGAGCACGACCAGUCACACGGGCACUGAGACACGGGCCCGACUCCGUACGGGAGGCAGCAAGGUAAGGAAUAGUUGGGCAAGUGGACGCAAGUCUGACCCAGCCAUCGCCGCGUGGAGGAUGGAAGGUCCUCGUGGUAUUACGUUAAACUUUC